ACCUUUGGUGUAUUGUUUUCUUUCAUAAUGACAGGAGUCAACAUUUGUGUGUCACUAUAACCUUCAUUUAAAUCAUGUUAGUAUAGUAUCUUACACAAAUUGUCUCAUUUUCCAGGCUCCUAUCCCCAAGCACAAAAUUGGAAAUCAACCAACUUUAAAACCAUUUUGUCCUGGGAACCAAAACCAUCAGCCACUUACAGCUACAGUGUGGA
rnacentral:misc_RNA from 1 species